CUUGAUAGAUUCAACCAAAUGGU
rnacentral:siRNA from 1 species